AUGUUCACAUUGGCAGCACAUACAUAAAAAAUCAGGACAAUGCACAGAAGAGUAGCAUGGCCUUUCUGCAAGGAUGACACUCAAAUUUAUGAAGUGUUCCAUACUUUU
rnacentral:snRNA from 1 species